rnacentral:rRNA from 2 species
ACGGGAGGCAGCAGUGGGGAAUAUUGCACAAUGGGCGAAAGCCUGAUGCAGCGACGCCGCGUGAGUGAAGAAGUAUUUCGGUAUGUAAAGCUCUAUCAGCAGGGAAGAUAAUGACGGUACCUGACUAAGAAGCACCGGCUAAAUACGUGCCAGCAGCCGCGGUAAUACGUAUGGUGCAAGCGUUAUCCGGAUUUACUGGGUGUAAAGGGUGCGUAGGUGGCAUGGCAAGUCAGAAGUGAAAGGUGAGGGCUCAACCCUUAGACUGCUUUUGAAACUGUCAAGCUAGAGUACAGGAGAGGAAAGCGGAAUUCCUAGUGUAGCGGUGAAAUGCGUAGAUAUUAGGAGGAACACCAGUGGCGAAGGCGGCUUUCUGGACUGACACUGACACUGAGGCACGAAAGCGUGGGGAGCAAACAGGAUUAGAUACCCUGGUA